AUCAUCUGCUUGCAGCCUACACUUGACCUCGAGUCACUGAAACCAUAGAAAGCUAAACUGCAGAUGAAGAAGCCUGGAGAAGAGAAAGAAUCAAGUAGGAACAACAUAGCUAGAACGGUAAACCCUUAACAGCAAAACUGCCAGUUAUAUCGUCUGCAAAAAACGAGUUAAUUGGGAAAGACCAAAGAAUUGCCACAUGGGACAAAUAAGCUAAUGCAAAAACCAUAGGCAAGUUCAGAGAACAAAGUCUGCAAUUAUGUAACCUGGAUGUUUUCCAGUCAUUUUUGCUACCAUUAAUACAAUUCGUAUGAUGUCCCAACUCAAAAGAAGAUAACAGCAAAACUGAGAAAUGCAGAGAAAGAGAGCUGGAAUCUUGAUGACACAUGACCCUAAAUGAAACGGCUCCUCUGAUACUGGUAUGCCUUUGGAUUUUCUAUUAGGUAAGGAUGUCAUGUUUGGUGGGCAGUUCCAACAAUCAACAGAUUUAUUUCCCUAAAGAAAAUUAUGUGCCACUACAGAUGAAUAGCAGGGACUGACUUAUAUAUGCAUUUUUGGAAUUACAAG